rnacentral:rRNA from 1 species
AUGCAAGUCGAACGAAGUAGCAAUACUUAGUGGCAGACGGGUGAGUAACAUGUAGGUAUCUGCCCUUUGGCCUGGAAUAACACGAGGAAACUUGUGCUAAUACCGGAUAAGUCUUUACGGAGAAAGCUUUAUGCACCAUUGGAUGAGCCUGCACUUGAUUAGUUUGUUGGUGGGGUAAUGGCCUACCAAGACUGUGAUCAAUAGCUGAUUUGAGAGGAUGAUCAGCCACAUUGGGACUGAGACACGGCCCAAACUCCUACGGGAGGCAGCAGUGGGGAAUCUUGCACAAUGGAGGAAACUCUGAUGCAACGAUGCCGCGUGAGUGAAGAAGGCCCUUGGGUUGUAAAGCUCUUUCGUCGGGGAAGAAAAUGACUGUACCCGAAUAAGAAGGUCCGGCUAACUUCGUGCCAGCAGCCGCGGUAAUACGAAGGGACCUAGCGUAGUUCGGAAUUACUGGGCUUAAAGAGUUCGUAGGUGGUUGAAAAAGUUAGUGGUGAAAUCCCAGAGCUUAACUCUGGAACUGCCAUUAAAACUUUUCAGCUAGAGUAUGAUAGAGGAAAGCAGAAUUUCUAGUGUAGAGGUGAAAUUCGUAGAUAUUAGAAAGAAUACCAAUUGCGAAGGCAGCUUUCUGGAUCAUUACUGACACUGAGGAACGAAAGCAUGGGUAGCGAAGAGGAUUAGAUACCCUCGUAGUCCAUGCCGUAAACGAUGUGUGUUAGACGUUGGAAAUUUAUUUUCAGUGUCGCAGGGAAACCGAUAAACACACCCGCCUGGGGAGUACGACCGCAAGGUUAAAACUCAAAUGAAUUGACGGGGACCCGCACAAGUAGUGAGCAUGUGGUUUAAUUCGAAGAUACGCGCAGAACCUUACCAACACUUGACAUGUUCGUCGCG